rnacentral:rRNA from 1 species
AGGGAAUAUUGGGCAAUGGAGGCAACUCUGACCCAGCCAUGCCGCGUGAAGGAAGAAGGCCUUCUGGGUUGUAAACUUCUUUUAUAUGGGAAGAAAGGACUCUUGCGAGAGGCGUUGACGGUACCAUAUGAAUAAGCACCGGCUAACUCCGUGCCAGCAGCCGCGGUAAUACGGAGGGUGCAAGCGUUGUCCGGAUUUAUUGGGUUUAAAGGGUGCGUAGGCGGCUUUAUAAGUCAGUGGUGAAAGACUGUGGCUCAACCAUAGAAUUGCCAUUGAUACUGUAGAGCUUGAGUAUAGUUGAGGUAGGCGGAAUUGACGGUGUAGCGGUGAAAUGCAUAGAUAUCGUCAGGAACACCGAUUGCGUAGGCAGCUUACUAAGCUAUAACUGACGCUGAGGCACGAAAGUGUGGGGAUCAAAC